rnacentral:rRNA from 1 species
AGGUAGUGACAAGAAAUAACAAUACAGGGCGAAUGUCUUGUAAUUGGAAUGAUGGUGACCCAAACCCUCACCAGAGUAGCAAUUGGAGGGCAAGUCUGGUGCCAGCAGCCGCGGUAAUUCCAGCUCCAAUAGCGUAUAUUAAACUUGUUGCAGUUAAAAAGCUCGUAGUUGUAUUUUUGCGUUAGCGGUUUGACCAUUUGGUUGGUUAUUUCGUUUUCGCUUUUGGGAAUUUCCCUUUUUACUUUGAGAAAAUUAGAGUGUUUCAAGCAGACUUUUGUCUUGAAUACUUCAGCAUGGAAUAAUAGAGUAGGACUUUGGU